UACGAGUGCCCCAAGCGUUAUCCGGAAUCAUUGGGCGUAAAGGGUGUGUAGGCGGUUGUGUUAGUCUUUUGUUAAAGCUCUCGGCUUAACCGGGAAGAUGCAAAAGAAACGGCACAACUAGAGGAUGCGAGAGGUGAAUGGAACUCAUAGUGUAGGGGUGAAAUCCGUUGAUAUUAUGGGGAACACCAAAAGCGAAGGCAAUUCACUGGCGCAUUCCUGACGCUGAGACACGAAAGCGUGGGUAGCGAAUGGG
rnacentral:rRNA from 1 species